AGAGUUUGAUCAUGGCUCAGACGACGCNNGNNGGCGCGCCUAACACAUGCAAGUCGACGGGGUGUCAGGCUUCGGUUUGGCACCUAGUGGCGCACGGGUGAGUAACGCGUGGGAACCUGCCCUGGGCUCCGGGACAACCGCGGGAAACUGUGGCUAAUACCGGAUGAUCCCCUGGAUCGAAGGUGAAGGGGGCAAAGAUUUAUCGGCCUGGGAUGGGCCCGCGUCCGAUUAGCUUGUUGGUGAGGUAACGGCUCACCAAGGCAUCGAUCGGUAGCUGGUCUGAGAGGAUGAUCAGCCACACUGGGACUGAGACACGGCCCAGACUCCUACGGGAGGCAGCAGUGGGGAAUCUUGGACAAUGGGGGCAACCCUGAUCCAGCGACGCCGCGUGGGUGAUGAAGGCCUUCGGGUUGUAAAGCCCUUUCACCGGGGACGAUGAUGACGGUACCCGGAGAAGAAGCACCGGCUACUCCGUGCCAGCAGCCGCGGUAAGACGGAGGGUGCUAGCGUUGUUCGGAAUCACUGGGCGUAAAGGGCGCGUAGGCGGCCUGGGAAGUCGGCUUGUGAAAGCCCGGGGCUCAACCCCGGAGGUGCGGCCGAUACUCUCAGGCUCGAGGUCGGAAGAGGAGGGUGGAAUACCCAGUGUAGAGGUGAAAUUCGUAGAUAUUGGGUGGAACACCGGUGGCGAAAGCGGCUCUCUGGUCCGAAUCUGACGCUGAGGCGCGAAAGCGUGGGGAGCAAACAGGAUUAGAUACCCUAGUAGUCC
rnacentral:rRNA from 1 species